rnacentral:rRNA from 1 species
UACGGUGGGUGCAAGCGUUAUCCGGAUUCACUGGGUUUAAAGGGUGCGUAGGAGGGCAGGUAAGUCAGUGGUGAAAUCUCCAAGCUUAACUUGGAAACUGCCGUUGAUACUAUCUGUCUUGAAUGUUGUGGAGGUGAGCGGAAUAUGUCAUGUAGCGGUGAAAUGCUUAGAUAUGACAUAGAACACCAAUUGCGAAGGCAGCUCACUACACAAUUAUUGACUCUGAGGCACGAAAGCGUGGGGAUCAAACAGG